rnacentral:rRNA from 1 species
UAUUAUUUUAUGUGUAAAUUUUAUAGGCUUGAGUAGUAUUAGUUUAGUUCUUGAAACUCAAAGAAUUUGGCGGUUUUUUAGUCUUUUUAGAGGAAUCUGUCCUGUAAUCGAUAAUACACGAUUAGUUGUACUUGAUUUUGUUAUCAAUUUGUAUAUCGCCGUUAUAAGAUUAUCUUUAUGAUUUAGAGAGUAUAUAAUUUUCUAUAUUUCAUAUUAGAAAGUAUAUCAGGUCAAGGUGCAGUUUAUGAUCAAGUAGAGAUGGAUUACAAUAGUAAUAACUAUUAUGGAUUAAUAUAUUUUAAUUUAUUAUGAAGGUGGAUUUAAUUGUAAGUUUAUUUUAAAUUUUAAGCUGAUUGUGGCUCUAAAAUAUGCACACAUCGCCCGUCGCUCUCGUUUUUUAAAUGAG